rfam:Zea mays cultivar B73 chromosome 6, whole genome shotgun sequence.
AAUGGGCGGGACAAAGGGUCACGAUCUCGCGAGGGUGAGCUAACUCCAAAAACCCGUCCUCAGUUCGGAUUGUAGGCUGCAACUCGCCUGCAUGAAG